UCCCGUACCGCGAAAUAUGUAGGCCUUCGCGGGCCAUCCCGCGGGACAUCGAAUAUUACAUUGCUUAUUUCUACAUGCACAAACAAACAUAGACAAUAAUUGAGUUUGAGCUUACACAUGAUCGAGCAUACUCUUAAAAGAUCAAUACAUUAAGCUUAUACAAAACAAAUGUUUUUUAUUAUCAUUUAUAAUGGCUUGAAGAAGCUCCACCGGUGCAGACCAGAGACGCUUGGGAGACCGGAAGCAUCAUCGACCCCUGAAACCACCAUCAACGGAGCUCCAUAAUGUCUAAUCCCCCUCUCUCUCUCUCUCUCUCUCUCUCUCUCUCUCUCUCUCUCUCUCUCUCUCUCUCUCUCUCUCUCUCUCUCUCUCUCUCUCUCUCUCUCUCUCUCUCUCUCUCUCUCUCUCUCUCUCUCUCUCUCUCUCUCUCUCUCUCUCUCUCUCUCUCUCAGGUGAAAGCUUCAAAAUCCCGCGGUUUAACCCAUCCCGCUUUCGACCCGUCCCGCUUUGAGCCCAUCCCACUUUGAACCCGUCCCGCUUUAGACCCGUCCCGCGAGGCCCGCAAUUUUGCGGGUUUAUCAAAUGGAGGCCCAAUCCCGCCCCGCAGCAAGCCUUUACAGGCCAGGCCCGCGGUCCAAGUCCUUGAUUGCCAUCCCUAUUGGUGUAGGAUGUUUAUAUCGACUGUGAAGAGAUUGCACGUUUUAAAAACCUCCCACGUCUCCAUGCUCUCACCUAUAAAACAUGGCAUGGAAUAGAGUGAGGUUCACCAAUACACCAGUUCGAUGUUUUGUUUAAAAUUUAAUUUAUGUAAACCAUGGGGCUUGGUUUGAUUUACUGAGAUUUCUUUUAUUGUUACUUAGAUUUUGCUUUUUCAAAUUAUGCUCUAUGUUUUUCGUUAUGCUUAUGGAAGACGAAUUUGUGUAAAUAUGAUGUUUGCUUAAGUAAUCUGGGUGGUAUUACUAUGUUA